AGUCGCGACUCGCUGCGCACGAGUUCAGUUCUGUUCCACAUUAACGCAUUUACGUGGAGGCCCGCGCGCUCAGCGGACGCCCGACCCGUCAGUGCCUGCCAGUACUCCAGUGCCAGUACUCGUGUGCAGUGCCAGUGGAUAGUGUGAAUGUUUCAGUGCGCUACUCGAGAUUUUCAAUUGGGUACGAAAAUGGUGAAACUAAAUCAGAAAAUACGAAAAAAACCCUGAAACACUUUUGUGUCGACACAAUGUGACACUCAAAUAGACUAAAAACAAAAUUUCAUACAAAAAUACUCGUGUAUAAUUCUAUAAUCAACAGUCUAGACUGGUUCUAGCAGAGCACGCAACGAACAGAACUGAACCGCGGACUUUAGCUAACCGCUAGCGCCAUCUACCGCCUCACUCAAUUAUACUGAGCUCUCAGAUAGUAGCUGUGUGCAAAUAGUGCUGGAUUAUCAUCACAGUGUUUCUAAUAGACAAUUAUAACCAAAAGAGUGUGUGACAAGAGUGUUGAGAGUGUACUUGUGAUGCACGAUGGAUCUGCACGCCCCGCCCAUGGUAGUACAUUCAUACGAGCCCCACGCUCCUCUGCUGGAGGUAGAGGGGCUGGACCCUCACAGCCCACAGCAGAAGGUUCUCAUACACGCACCUGCUAUGCAAAACCAAGAGCUCAUGCCCGCUGACCAUCGGAAUGGAGAGUACGACUUUUCAGAUGAGCAGUACGCACACCACGCGCACGGCGGCAGCCAGGGCAGCGACGG